UACGUAGGUGGCAAGCGUUGUCCGGAUUUACUGGGCGUAAAGGGCGCGCAGGCGGUCGUUCAAGUCGCGUGUGAAAGCCCCCGGCUCAACUGGGGAGGGUCACGCGAUACUGAUCGACUCGAAGGCAGGAGAGGGAAGUGGAAUUCCCGGUGUAGUGGUGAAAUGCGUAGAUAUCGUAAGGAAGACCAGUGGCGAAGGCGAGUCUCUGGACAGCAACUGACGCUGAGGCACGAAGGCCAGGGGAGCAAACGGG
rnacentral:rRNA from 1 species